rnacentral:tRNA from 2 species
GCGAAGGUGGCGGAAUUGGUAGACGCGCCAGACUAAGGAUCUGGUGGGGUAACCUGUGAGGGUUCGAGUCCCUCCCUUCGCACCA